CUAACACAUACUGUAUGAAGAGGAGUCAGAUGAAGACAGUCAGCAGGCAGUAAUAAAAUGCUACAGUGUCUCCCAGACUGUCAUGUCAAUUGCUCUAUAUUCUACACAGCCAUGUCAAUAGCUCUCUAUAUUCUACAUACACUCUCACUCAAAGCCAUGUCAAUAGCUCUAUAUUCCACAGUCAUGUCAACAGCUCUAUAUUCUACACAGCCAUGCCAACAGCUCUAUAUUCUACACAGCCAUGUCAAUAGCUCUAUAUUCUACACAGCCAUGUCAACAGCUCUAUAUUCUACACAGCCAUGUCAACAGCUCUAUAUUCUACACAGCCAUGUCAACAGCUCUAUAUUCUACACAGCCAUGUCAAUAGCUCUCUAUAUUCUACACAGCCAUGUCAAUAGCUCUAUAUUCUACAUACACUCUCACUCACAGCCAUGUCAAUAGCUCUAUAUUCUACAUACACUCUCACUCACAGCCAUGUCAAUAGCUCUACAUUCUACAUACACUCUCACUCACAGCCAUGUCAAUAGCUCUAUAUUCUACACAGCCAUGUCAAUAGCUCUAUAUUCUACACAGCCAUGUCAACAGCUNNNNNNNNNNCUAACACAUACUGUAUGAAGAGGAGUCAGAUGAAGACAGUCAGCAGGCAGUAAUAAAAUGCUACAGUGUCUCCCAGACUGUCAUGUCAAUUGCUCUAUAUUCUACACAGCCAUGUCAAUAGCUCUCUAUAUUCUACAUACACUCUCACUCAAAGCCAUGUCAAUAGCUCUAUAUUCCACAGUCAUGUCAACAGCUCUAUAUUCUACACAGCCAUGCCAACAGCUCUAUAUUCUACACAGCCAUGUCAAUAGCUCUAUAUUCUACACAUCCUAACACAUACUGUAUGAAGAGGAGUCAGAUGAAGACAGUCAGCAGGCAGUAAUAAAAUGCUACAGUGUCUCUCAGACUGUCUCAGUGAGGGUGGUGGGUUGUGUUCCUACCCCUGCACAGUGCCAACCAGAGUUAAGUGGCAGCCAGGCAAUGCAUACACAAGCACCCCUUAGCAGGCAUGGUGCUGGAAUUUUCUCCUUAAUGUUAUCAAACAAAUAUCUCCCGGGGGAAGGAGAUUCACAGCCGCCUCCGCUCUGCAGCAGGUCAGCAUGGCUAAAUAUGCGUCCCAAAUGGCACCCUAUUCCCUAUAUAGUGCACUACGUUGGACCAGAGCGCUAUGGGCCCUGGUCCAAAGUAGUGCACUAUAAAGGGAAUAGGGGGACAUUUGGUACUCAGCCUAAAUUCCUCCCACUAGUGGCCAGUCCCUGGGGUCUGAGAAGCAUCUGUUAAUUGGGUGUUUAACCUUUGGAGAAAUCCCCUGCUGAUCAUCAACUAAUAAGUUAAGAAAGAUGAGUCUUCUAAGAAGUCUUCUAACACAAGAUCAUCUCUCAGAUAACAGUUUCAAAAUGGGAGCUUCAAACAGCCUGCUCAUCAGAUCUCUGACAGAUAUAAUGAUUAGAGCCUAGAUGUGUUCUAAUUUAAUAGUAAACAAACAUGAAACAAAUGAUAAUGCACUAAGACCCAUUUAAUAGUCAAUUCAAAAACACUAAUGCUCAAAAAACACCAACAGAAGAUACCAAACACUUCCUCACAAUACAACCAAAAACACAUGAGACAUGAGCUGUGUUUAAAGAAAGCGGUACGGUCACAGCUAAGUCACUCCUUCACGGUGGUACAAAGCUAAAAAUACCCCGGUCAUGCAAGCCCUCCAGCACAGCCUGGAGAGAAAACGACUAGCUGCCAGAGAGUCUAGAGAGAGAGAGGCUAGCUGCCAGAGAGUCUGGAGAGAGAGAGAGGCUAGCUGCCAGAGAGUCUGGAGAGAGAGGCUAGCUGCCAGAGAGUCUGGAGAGAGAGAGGGGCUAGCUGCCAGAGAGUCUGGAGAGAGAGGCUAGCUGCCAGAGAGUCUGGAGAGAGAGGCAAGCUGCCAUAGAGUCUGGAG
rnacentral:lncRNA from 13 species